GUGGAUGGUGUAGUUGGUUUGAGCGUUGGACUAUGACUCUGGAGACCAGAGUUCGAAUCCCAGCUUGGUCA
rnacentral:tRNA from 1 species